UGGACAAAUGCUUACUAAACGGAUAACUGUUAGUAAUUCUAAGAGCUAAUACGUGCCUCGAUGCCCUGAUCCGCAAGGUGAGGGGUGCACUUAUUAGAUCCCAAAUCAAACGCUUCGGCGUGUUUUGUGAUGACUCUGGAUAACUUUGUAUGAUCGCAGCUGGCCUUGUGUCGGCGACGGAUCCAUCAAAUAUCUGCCCUAUCAACUUUCGAUGGUAGGAGACCUGCCUACCAUGGUUAUGACGGGUAACGGGGAAUCAGGGUUCGAUUCCGGAGAGGGAGCCUGAGAAACGGCUACCACAUCCAAGGAAGGCAGCAGGCGCGUAAAUUACCACUCUCUGAACGAGGAGGUAGUGAAGAUAAAUAUCGAUACAGAACUCAUUUGAGGCUCUGUAAUCGAAAUGAGUGCAUUAUAAAUCCUACAACGAGGAUCUAUUGGAGGGCAAGUCUGGUGCCAGCAGCCGCGGUAACUCCAGCUCCAAUAGCGUAUAUUAAAGUUGUUGCAGUUAAAAAGCUCGUAGUUGGAUCUGGGCCGUGUCGUGAUUGUCGGCGGGCUGUGGCUUGUGCAAACAGGCCGCAAUCAGCUGGUAUAUUCACGCACAGCUUCGCAGCUGUGUCCAUGCGUCUACGGAUGCGUGGAUGGUGUUGGAUGUCAGUGUUCACUCCCUUAACGGGGUGGAUGCGGUUCAGCAUCAUGCUCUGUUGAUGCCCUUAAUCGGUGUCCGGAACUCUCAGCACGUUUACUUUGAACAAAUUUGAGUGCUCAAUGCAGGCCGCUUGUUGCCUGAAAAUUCUUGCAUGGAAUAAUGAAAUAGGACUUUGGUCCUAUUUUGUUGGUUUGAUAGAACCGAAGUAAUGAUAAAGAGAGACAGACGGGGGCAUUUGUAUGGCUGCGCUAGAGGUGAAAUUCGUGGACCGUAGCCAGACAAACUAAAGCGAAAGCAUCUGCCAAGUAUGUUUUCAUUUACCAGGAGCGAAAGUCAGAGGUUCGAAGACGAUCAGAUACCGUCCUAGUUCUGACCAUAAACGAUGCCAACUGAUGAUCCGUGGUAGUUCAUUUUAUGAGCCCACGGGCAGUCUCCGGGAAACCUGUAAGUCUAUGGGUUCCGGGGAAAGUAUGGUUGCAAAACUGAAACUUAAAGGAAUUGACGGAAGGGCACCACCAGGAGUGGAGCUUGCGGCUUAAUUUGACUCAACACGGGAAAACUCACCCGACCCGGACACUGUAAGGAUUGACAGAUUGAAAGCUCUUUCUUGAUUCGGUGGCUAGUGGUGCAUGGCCGUUCUUAGUUCUUGGUACGAGCUGUCUGGUUAAUUCCGAUAACGAACGAGACUCUAACCUGCUAAAAUAGUACAGUUGCAAUAUUGCAUGGACCCUCCAUGUCGUAGCCCUUUGGUGAUGGCGUGGGACCAUGUAAGCAGGUCAUACUUCUUCUAGGGACUGGCACAUUAUAUAAAGUGCCCAAGGGAUAGCAAUGAUCGUCUGUAAUGCCCUAUUAUUUCCGGGGCCACAAUCGUGCUACAAAUCCGUUCCUGGUGAAAUGAUUGCCCGGUUCCAAAGGAUUGGGAAAACUGUUCAAUCAUCCUCAUGACUAGAAUUGGGGUUUGCAAUUACCCCCCCUGAACGAGGAAUUCCUAGGGUACACAAGACAGAACCUUGUGCUGAUUACGUCCCUGCCCUUUGUACACCCGCCCGUGGCUACUAUUGAUUGAAUGUUUUACCAAGGUCACUGGAUCGGCUUUUUGUGGUUAAUUCCAUUUUUGCCUGAGAAGAUGACCGAGCUUGAGCAUUUAGAGGAAGGGAAAGUAGUAACAUGGUUUCUAUAGGUGAACCUGCGGAAGGAUCAUUACCAAUCGGUUCCAUAUAUAUCGCGUGACAGGGUUGGACUUGUCUGUGAUUUGGUUCCGUCGGGCAUACCCCUUGUACCGCAUUUUAGGAUUAGGUGAAUUCCGUUGGUGGUCGUCUCUGGUAUGCAUUGAAAAUUUUCUGUGCCUGAUUAACCAAGGGGACCUUCCUUUCUCCCCUCAUCCUAUCUGCUUUCUGUCGUUCUUAACCUCUUAAUUAAUCAUUCACCUGCUAUCGCUCUCCUUUUAUACCAAGGUGCAUGCCAUCCCGCUAAAUUGAUACCUGCCUACGCGGGUGUCGCCAUACGAACGCAAUCAUGAAGGCAUGCUAAUCUACAUGGUGGUCCUCGCUAUGU
rnacentral:rRNA from 1 species